rnacentral:tRNA from 1 species
GGAGAGGUGUCCGAGUGGCCGAAGGAGCACGCCUGGAGAGCGUGUAGGCGGUGACCCUGCCUCGUGGGUUCGAAUCCCACCCUCUCCGCCA